GUGCUCGCUUUGGCAGCACUUAUACUAAAAUUGGAACAAUACGGAGAAGAUUAACAUGGCCUCUGCACAAGGAUGACACACAAAUUUGUGAAAUGGUCCAUAUUAAA